rnacentral:hammerhead_ribozyme from 1 species
CUUAGCUGACGAGUCCCAAACAGAAUAGAAUGCGCAUCCUGGAG